GGCUCAGGAUGAACGCUAGCGGCAGGCUUAAUACAUGCAAGUCGUGGGGCAGCAUGAGUAGCAAUACUUGAUGGCGACCGGCAAACGGGUGAGGAACACGUACACAACCUUCCUUCAAGCGGGGAAUAGCCCAGAGAAAUUUGGAUUAAUACCCCAUAAUAUAUUUGAUAAGGCAUCUUAUUAAUAUUAAAGCUUCGGCACUUGAUGAUGGGUGUGCGGCUGAUUAGAUAGUUGGCGGGGUAACGGCCCACCAAGUCUACGAUCAGUAGCUGAUGUGAGAGCAUGAUCAGCCACACGGGCACUGAGACACGGGCCCGACUCCUACGGGAGGCAGCAGUAAGGAAUAUUGGACAAUGGACGAAAGUCUGAUCCAGCCAUGCCCGCGUGAAGGAUUAAGGUCCUCUGGAUUGUAAACUUCUUUUAUAUGGGACGAAAAAAGGGCAUUCUUGUUCACUUGACGGUACCAUAUGAAUAAGCACCGGCUAACUCCGUG
rnacentral:rRNA from 1 species